rnacentral:lncRNA from 1 species
GGACCCUUCUAGACUCUUCUUUGGAAUAAAAACAAACAAAAAAGACCCUAAGGACCUAAUACACAAAAGACCUAGGGACUAAUAGGCAAAAUACACAAAAAUAUACCUAAACCUAGACUCUACCUAUAAAGUAAUGCUGAAAAGGACUGGAAAAAACUGCGCAGCCUUUCACAAGAGCCCCACCCCUCGUCAUCGUCUUCUUCGACCUCCCCCCCCACUGGUCUUCGUCUUCCUCAUGUUAGGUUGAAGCAGCAACCUAACGCCUAGAAGAAACCCAACCCAUCGUUCACCUUCUUCUUCUGAAAAAACCAGUGAACCAAAAACUCCCUUGAACAAAAUUUCAGCCGAUAAACACACACGAAACACACACUCGACCCCUCAUCUCUUCAACGACCAACAGUAGAAAAUUCCAUUCCCUCUACUGUUUCCUUCUCGCCACAAUUCCAGGAUUUAGGAGCUUCCAUUUUCAGAGAAACUAAAGCAAAGUAGGUGAAAUAAGUUCUCUUAAUCCAUGAGUUCGUUGAGGUUGCUGGUGUGGUCUCCGUCUUGUAUCGAUUUUUGGCUUCAAUUUGGUCGAUAACUUGCAUUCGCAAUUCGUUUGUGGUUGAUUCGGUUUAAUUGAAAGCUUUGUUCGCAAAGGUCCAUUCCUUGCUCCUUUUAACUUAAUAUUGUGUAUGAGGUCUUGUUUACAUAAUCUGUGAUUUUACUCCUCGUUGAAACUCCUUGUUCACGAUGUGCUUUGCUAUGAAUUGUUUGAUUUUGGCUCAAGACCGUCACUGAAAUGGGUUUUGGAAUUACGCUUUGUUAAUCUUUCACUUGAAGUUGAGUGAUCAAAAAUGCUAGUGAAAUGUUAGCUUCUAAAAUCAUCAAGAAAACAUUAAGAUGGAACUAUAUUCUGUUAGCAAGUCGAUCAUUUUCUAUGGCGACGAGCGAAGCUGACAAAUUUUUUGCCUCUAAUCAAUAUGAGAAGCUAACAUGAAGACAAUUUUCUAUUUGGUUUGUGAAAAUAAGAAUAGGCCAUGGAUUUGUUCUUGAAACAUUAGUAUGGGUUCAAUCUAAUAAAUACAAUGUGGCCUAUUUUCCGUAAUAGAUCUCUGUUUAAGUCACAUUUUAGUGUUUAUUAUCAAUUAAUCUCAGGCUUUAGAAGUCUAGUAAUUUAUUUAGUUGUAAAAUGUUUUAAGAUAGAUAUUUUGUUAAUAUUUCAAAUAGCACUUCCAAGAACUUCUUAUCCUUAAUUUGGAUCUUCAAUAAUCUCAAAGCUUAGGAAGAAUCAUGAACACCGUAGUGUGCCUCUGGCGCAUUAUAAUAAUUAUCAUGGCUACGGGUAUGGUUCCCGUGACGUAGUUGUGAUGCUUGAUUCCUAAAUUCAGGUGCGCAUUUAUGUGACCCAAAUCCAAAUCUCAACAACGUUAGAUAAAAUGUGUCGUGGACCGCGGGUGCAUUUAUGUGACGUGGUUCAAGACAUGUUUUUAAUAAUGUUGAAAUCCUCCUAAAAUAAAACAAUUAAAUUAAAGCGGGUAUAAAAUUAAAAAUUGCACCAUAGGCUAAGCAUGUAUUAAAAUCAAGUAAAUAAGCCAAUUAUAACAGUUGAGCGACCGUGCUAGAACCACAGAACUCGGGAAUGCCUAACACCUUCUCCCGGGUUAACAGAAUUCCUUACCCAGAUUUCUGUGUUCGCGGACUGUAAUACAGUGUCAAUCUUCUCCUCGACUCGGGAUUUUGAACAGGUGACUUGGGACACCAUAAAAUUAUCCCAAGUGGCGACUCUAAAUUUUAAAUAAUAAAUAAAUCCCGUUUCGAUUAUCACUUUAAGUUGGAAAAAACUCCCUUUAUACCCUUUCCACGGGUGUAGAUAAAAAGGAGGUGUGACACUUUCCCUCUUAAGUUUAUUCUUAUUGUUAAAUAUAGUAGGCUACUGGAAAUAAAGGUCAUGAUUCAUAACCAACCUCCCAACAUCAAAUAUUGUGGUCAAGUUAAGCAAUUUGGAGGCAGCAUUUACUCAGUUAUAACUAUGUAAUUAGUUGUAUGUCUUACAUUUUGUCUAUUUCUCAGAACUCAUAAGUUAUCUUAGACUUUUUUUAUAGUGGUGAUGUCCGAGCCAGCUCGAUCAUACCUUGACUAUUCUGUAGGGUACUUGCUAUCUCUAGUGGGUAACUCUGCCACCAAUGCAAGCAGAUGGAACGAAAUCAUCAAGCAUUCUUUGAACCCUGGUCUACCAUGGUUUUCGUCCGACUUCAUCGACCACUAGAACAUACUUUUGUGUGCUUAUAGUUAUAUUUGACUUGACUAUAAUCUAUACUAUUUGUUUUAAUAACAAUGGAGUUUGGACUAACUUGCGAACACCUCGACUACAA